rnacentral:rRNA from 1 species
GAGUUUGAUCCUGGCUCAGGACGAACGCUGGCGGCGUGCUUAACACAUGCAAGUCGAACGGUGAUGUCAGAGCUUGCUCUGGCGGAUCAGUGGCGAACGGGUGAGUAACACGUGAGUAACCUGCCCCCGACUCUGGGAUAACUGCUAGAAAUGGUAGCUAAUACCGGAUAUGACGACUGGCCGCAUGGUCUGGUCGUGGAAAGAAUUUCGGUUGGGGAUGGACUCGCGGCCUAUCAGGUUGUUGGUGAGGUAAUGGCUCACCAAGCCUACGACGGGUAGCCGGCCUGAGAGGGUGACCGGCCACACUGGGACUGAGACACGGCCCAGACUCCUACGGGAGGCAGCAGUGGGGAAUAUUGCACAAUGGGCGCAAGCCUGAUGCAGCAACGCCGCGUGAGGGAUGACGGCCUUCGGGUUGUAAACCUCUUUUAGUAGGGAAGAAGCGAAAGUGACGGUACCUGCA